rnacentral:rRNA from 1 species
AGUGAACGCUGGCGGUAGGCCUAACACAUGCAAGUCGAACGGCAGCACAGUAAGAGCUUGCUCUUACGGGUGGCGAGUGGCGGACGGGUGAGGAAUACAUCGGAAUCUACUUUUUCGUGGGGGAUAACGUAGGGAAACUUACGCUAAUACCGCAUACGACCUACGGGUGAAAGCAGGGGAUCUUCGGACCUUGCGCGAUUGAAUGAGCCGAUGUCGGAUUAGCUAGUUGGCGGGGUAAAGGCCCACCAAGGCGACGAUCCGUAGCUGGUCUGAGAGGAUGGUCGGCCACACUGGAACUGAGACACGGUCCAGACUACUACGGGAGGCAGCAGUGGGGAAUAUUGGACAAUGGGGGCAAGCCUGAUCCAGCCAUACCGAGUGGGUGAAGAAGGCCUUCGGGUUGGAAAGCCCUUUUGUUGGGAAAGAAAAGCAGCAGGUUAAUACCCAGCUGUUCUGACGGUACCCAAAGAAUAAGCACCGGCUAACUUCGUG